rnacentral:rRNA from 1 species
GUGAGGGAUUUUCCGCAAUGGGCGCAAGCCUGACGGAGCAACGCCGCGUGCAGGAGGACGCUUUUCGAAGUGUAAACUGCUUUUCUGUGGGACGAGCAAGGACGGUACCACAGGAAGAAGCCCCGGCUAACUACGUGCCAGCAGCCGCGGUAAGACGUAGGGGGCGAGCGUUAUCCGGAGUUACUGGGCGUAAAGCGCCCGUAGGCGGUGCCGUGCGUUUUGCCAGACAGCUGCCGGCUUACCUGGCAGAGGUGGCGAAAGACGAUGGCACUUGAGGACCAGAGAGGGACCUGGAAUUCCGGGUGGAGCGGUGAAAUGCGUAGAGAUCCGGAGGAACACCAAAGGCGAAGGCAGGGUCCUGGCUGGUGACUGACGCUGAGGGGCGAAAGCCAGGGGAGCGAACGGGAUUAGAAACCCCGGUAGUCC